ACCUAACUUCCUCUAGACUCAAAACAUUUGUUAGGUUUCGGCCUUGAGCCAGUCGUCAUGUCUGCUGUAAAGGUGUAAAUUGGUCAGUUUCUCCCUAUGGAACUACUGGGCUUUUAGAAUGAUAGGAAACCUGGCCUGUCCCUUUACAGGUAAGUCCUCUGUGCUGAGAUGACAGAUGCAAAGAACAACUGGAAGUGGGUGGGGUGGAGAGGGACACGCCACCCCCUGUGUGCUGCUACCACCUGCGCCCGCUGUCUGGCCCAGGAAGGAACCGCAUCGGUGCAGAGGGGCGGCACUGUGGCCGUUUCUAUGUGCGGGCGGGCGGAACACCGACUCAGAGGUGCCGGGAGGGAGCCUGCUGAGGACCACUGUCUGCCCCACCCGAGGCGCACUUGACCUUAGACGGGUUGGCACUCUCAUUUACCAGCCCUCUCUGCGCCCUGUGUGGAACCAUUCUUCGUCCUGCUAGAUCCUCACUCUUACCUUGAAACGAGAGGAAAUAAAACAAGAGGCUUUUAUGAAAGAACCAACUCUGCAAUGACCACGGCUGAGCUGGGAAAUGGGGCUUCACCUGCUGCCAGGUUGCUCAGGUCGCUUUUUCUCUCUUAAUUAUGCCACUAGGUGCGUUACAGUCAGGCGAAGCUGGGCUGCGUGACCCUGGGCAGGGUGGGCGGCUCUCACCUGUGGAGAUGCAGCACUGAGGGGCCCCUCCAGCGUGGUUGCUAACACAGACUGCCUAGGAGCGUGCUUUUCUCAUCCUGGACCCCAGCUACUGCUUAAUUUGCAGGUUUGGCGGAAAGACCCCGUGGAGCUUUACUGUAGCCUGAUAUUGAAAUUCGGCACAGCUUGUACAGGAUAGGUAGGAGCCUUUGAAACGUGAGCGCUAGCUUACGUGGAGGCGCUGGUGGGAUACUACCCUAGCUGUGUUGGCUUUCUAACCCGCACCACUUAUCGUGGUGGGAGACAGUGUCAGGCGGGCAGUUUGACUGGGGCGGUCGCCUCCUAAAAGGUAACGGAGGCGCUCAAAGGUUCCCUCAGAAUGGUUGGAAAUCAUUCAUAGAGUGUAAAGGCAUAAGGGAGCUUGACUGCGAGACCUACAAGUCGAGCAGGGUCGAAAGACGGACUUAGUGAUCCGGUGGUUCCGCAUGGAAGGGCCAUCGCUCAACGGAUAAAAGCUACCCCGGGGAUAACAGGCUUAUCUCCCCCAAGAGUUCACAUCGACGGGGAGGUUUGGCACCUCGAUGUCGGCUCAUCGCAUCCUGGGGCUGUAGUCGGUCCCAAGGGUUGGGCUGUUCGCCCAUUAAAGCGGUACGCGAGCUGGGUUCAGAACGUCGUGAGACAGUUCGGUCCCUAUCCGUCGUGGGCGUAGGAAAUUUGAGAGGAGCUGUCCUUAGUACGAGAGGACCGGGAUGGACAUACCUCUGGUGUACCAGUUGUCGUGCCAACGGCAUAGCUGGGUAGCUAUGUGUGGACGGGAUAAGUGCUGAAAGCAUCUAAGCAUGAAGCCCCCCUCAAGAUGAGAUUUCCCAACUUCGGUUAUAAGAUCCCUCGAAGAUGACGAGGUUAAUAGGUUCGAGGUGGAAGCGUGGUGACACGUGGAGCUGACGAAUACUAAUCGAUCGAAGACUUAAUC
rnacentral:rRNA from 1 species